CAGUCUGAAUAUGCACAGAGCAAGAUGCUGACUGGAGUUGGGGGCUUCGUUCUGAGUCUGCUCUUCCUUGGGGCGGGGCUGUUCAUCUACUGCAGGAAUCAGAAAGGACACUCUGGACUUCAGCCAACAGGACUCCUGAGCUGAAGUGCCAAUGGUGACACUGGUGAUACUGCAGGAAGAAAGAACCUUCUGUCCCGGCUUCUUUGCAGCAUGGAAAGUUUUCUUACUUGGCUCUUACUCCACAGAGAGAGCGCUUCCUCGGGAUCUGCUUACGUCCAGGUUCAGUGACCCUGCAGAACACACAUUUCCUGCCUGGUUCAGUGACCCUGCAAGAACACACAUUUCCUGCCGGCUUCCUUAGCCCCCACCCUUGACCUGGAGGUCCCAGUAUCCCCUGCUGUGCCUUUCUACCUUCCUUCCUUCCCCGGUCCCUUUGUAUACAACCCUUAUUGUCUCCUGUGCACCUGAAUUCACCUUCUGCCCACAAUUUUCCUUUGUUAAAUAUGGAUUAAAAAUCAUCUGUUUCAUACAGCUUCAAGUACAAGAAGUAGGAAGACAAGAGAAUGAGAGGAUUUCAUCACCAUACAAUAAUUUUCAUUUUUGGUCUGAAUUUUGGUCACAUGGGAAUCUGAAAGAUUUCUUUAUUUCCUUCCAUGCUUUUUUAUGAGUUUUCUGCAUUCUGUGAUGAGUCAUGUUUCCCUGAGUCAGGAGAAAGCCUGCAGUACAUGGUGGUCUCCUACAUCUUGUUUCUCAAAGACAUGCAAGUCCCUUCAUGACAUAGGAUACACAAAGGGGACAAUAAGUAUAAGAAAUGCAGGGUGUGAUGCCUUCACAGUUUUUAUAAUCAUGUUCUCUUUUUCUCUGAUUUUUCAGAAGAUAAUAUAUAAACCUGGGUACUUUUUGAAGUAACCUUUUAUUAGAUUAAUGGUGGGCUUCAAUACUUCAGUCAUUUUCUGUCUCUCAGAUAAAAAUCAGUGCUGUGUAAACUCUUUGCCUUGAGAUGCACCCUUGGCCAUAAAUAGGUCUCAGAGGCAUCAGGACGAAGCACAGCUCUAGUGGAAAAGAUGCACUUCUACAGCCCUCCAUGUUGUGUGAUAAACUCAGUGUCUGUCACUGGAAACUCCUGUAUGGACCUUAUUUUAGCAUCAGUCAGAGACAAUGCUGAGAAACAGGAGUGUAUGAAUCCACUGAUGUACAUCCAAACAAUGAAAUAUCUGCACUGGGAGGAAAAAAAGAAUACUCUGCUAUGGAAUAAUCUCCAAAAUGUGUUUGGAGCAAGGAACAAGAGCAUUUUAUGCAACAUUUUGUUUAAUAAGAUAGAAGAGAAUAGGAAUAUAUAGCCAAACUCAUUCAUUUUAUCUAUCUACCUAUCUGUCAUCUAUGUGUCAUCAUCAUCUAUAUCUAUCAUCUAUCUGCUUCCAUUGUUAAUAGAAGGAUUUUUUAAAUGAUUGUCUAUAGGGAAAAAUGUGGGAAUAAGUUGAAGGAAACUGGACUUUUCUGAAUAUAUAUAGUAUCUAAUGUAAUAAUAUUUUUAACUUGCAGAACAUUUAAAUAUU